GGAAGGAGAGGUGGAGUGAAGGGUGUAGGGAGGAAAUGUUAGGAACAGGAGGAGCCCUGUCUGUGUCCGGAGGGAAAGGGAAGACAGCGCUGCCCGGCCUGGCCACAGACACAGCUGGUUCCUGCCAGAGGAAGCCCCAACGGAGGCCGAGGCCUGGUGUCUACCGCUAUCACAACCCAGCAGCACUGUUUACCUUCCCCUGGGGAACCACCCCUUUCACACGGCGGGGUCAGGACACACACACCCACACUGUUACAGUUGCACUCAGUCCUGGCUCACACGGGCGCCACUGCUCUGCUUUCACUGUGUGGACUAGAGGAGGGUUCAGGCCAGUGCACUGCCCCUCAGCCGGAACAACGAGGAAACGAGGAGCCACGAGGCUAGCUGACCUCCCCCUGCCACUCACACACACACACACUGUUACCUCACACACUCCUGUUGAGUGAGUCGGAGAAAGAGAAGGGGAGAGAGAGACUACUGGGUGGAGAGAAAGAGUAUCGGACACAGAUAAUUACACAAGUCUGGUGGCGCCGCGAUCCAUCUGAGGUGACGUGUCGUGGACGGGAAGAAAGUACGAGGUAAAGGAAGAGUCAUUUGAAGGCUGUUAGCUGCAUAAAGUAAAAAGGAAGGGGAACUUUAAAGAAAGUCUUGUUCGAGUGGGAGGAAGAAGAAGUCGAGUACAAAAAGACAUCUCUCUGUCUGGCAGCCAUGUGAUCUGGCUGUGCUGGGCUCAUGUUCUAAUCAUGAGAGCAAGAGGACUCACUCUGUGAUCUCCCCAGGCCUGGAUGAGUCAGUCAGUCAGUGGGUUAGUCAGUCAGUCAGUCAGUCUGUCAGUCGGUAAGCACCCUAAGCACACAGGAGAAAGGACAUCAACCCUCCGGUCUACACACAGAGAAAGUUACUUGUGUGGUUUAGUGUGUCCCCUGUCCAGCCGAGAGUUCUAGAAACACACAGAGGACAGGACAACGUUGUGGAUUACUGCUGUGGGGAGGGGGGAUGCAGAGUAUGGCCGCCGAGGUCCACCUGGAGCGGCAGAGGAGGUCUGACCUACGGAGAGCCUCAACCUCAGCCUCCACCUCGGCCAAUUUGACCGCUCCUCCCAGGGUUCCCACGGUGAUGCUGACCAGUCACAGGGGGACGCUGUGCAGACGGAACCCUCACAGGCUGGAAUCUGGCAACCCCAACCUGGCAACCAGGAGCCACCGCACAGCCAACCAAGUCUGUGUGUGUGUGUCUGUGUGUGUGUGUGUCUCUGUGUUAGUCUGUGUGUGUGUGUGUGUGUGUGUGUGUGUGUGUGUGUGUGUGUGUGUGUGUGUGUGUGUGUGUGUGUGUGUGUGUGUGUGUGUGUGUGUGUGUGUGUGUGUGUGUGUGUGUGUGAGGGGUUAUGAGACGCGGCGCAGGCUUCCUGUGAGGGAGCAGAUGUCGCAGGGCUCAGACACAGCUGCGGCGGCUGAUAACCGCAGUGGCAGGGAUAUGUCGGCACGCUGGCUCCUCUCCCUGUGUCUUAUCACCGCGCAUACAGCACACAGCACACAGCACACCACAAUGAGGAACUGCCGCCCGCCAACACCAGCACACCCUCACAGCCGGCCCUGAGAGAGGGG
ensembl:lncRNA